rnacentral:rRNA from 1 species
AGAGUUUGAUCAUGGCUCAGAGUGAACGCUGGCGGUAGGCCUAACACAUGCAAGUCGAACGGCAGCACAGGAGAGCUUGCUCUCUGGGUGGCGAGUGGCGGACGGGUGAGGAAUACAUCGGAAUCUACUUUUUCGUGGGGGAUAACGUAGGGAAACUUACGCUAAUACCGCAUACGACCUACGGGUGAAAGCAGGGGAUCUUCGGACCUUGCGCGAUUGAAUGAGCCGAUGUCGGAUUAGCUAGUUGGCGGGGUAAAGGCCCACCAAGGCGACGAUCCGUAGCUGGUCUGAGAGGAUGAUCAGCCACACUGGAACUGAGACACGGUCCAGACUCCUACGGGAGGCAGCAGUGGGGAAUAUUGGACAAUGGGCGCAAGCCUGAUCCAGCCAUACCGCGUGGGUGAAGAAGGCCUUCGGGUUGUAAAGCCCUUUUGUUGGGAAAGAAAUCCAGCUGGUUAAUACCCGGUUGGGAUGACGGUACCCAAAGAAUAAGCACCGGCUAACUUCGUGCCAGCAGCCGCGGUAAUACGAAGGGUGCAAGCGUUACUCGGAAUUACUGGGCGUAAAGCGUGCGUAGGUGG